GUCCUUCCAAACCUCUUCCACAUUUCCAGUGGGGUGUGGGGUGACAGUGGGGUUGGAGCAGCUCCCCAGGGAGGUCAGUGGAGGAUUUCCCAGCAGGACAACUUGGCUGGGGUGCAGAAGGUGAAGGAAAGUCCUGACGAACAUCCAGAGCAGACCUGCUGGCUUUUCUUGCAUGGGGAAAGUUUCUUAUUCACCUCUUCCUAUCAAAGGCACCCCCUGAGAGGAAUGAGGGAGUUUAGAAAUAAAGACUCCUGGAGCAAAAAAUGGAUGUUUGGUGCAGGCAGAAGCUUCCCCUGUUUGUCUCUGUGCUUAUGCACUGCAAAACCUUUGCAGCCUCUCCCCUGCAAUGGAAAUAACAUCCAGGAUGGAUCACUUCUGUUUGUCAGGGAAAGGGAAUGAUGAAGCCCCAGUGGUACAUUUGCCUUGCUCCUGCUUUGGAAACAAACUUCCCAUCCACUCCCAAUCAACUGCAAUGAUCCAAGCAGACAAAGCUGGUCCCUCAUUAAAUCAACCUUCAAAUUUGCCUGGGGCUUGUUCUAAUUGAUUCAGAGCAGAGCUUCAGUUCUCCAGAAGUGAAGAAUGAAAUAAAUGAACCAAGUUUCA